rnacentral:rRNA from 1 species
CCCUUAGAUGUCCUGGGCCGCACGCGCGUUACACUGAUGCAUUCAACGAGCUUAUAACCUUGGCCGAGAGGCCUGGGCAAUCUUGUUAACGUGCAUCGUGAUAGGGAUGGAUUAUUGAAAUUAUUAAUCUUGAACGAGGAACUCCUAGUAAACUCAGAUCAUCAAUCUGCAUUGAUUACGUCCCUGCCCUUUGUACACACCGCCCGUCGCACCUACCGAUUGGAUGGUCCGGUGAAGCCUCGGGAUUGUGGUUCUUGCCGCUUUAUUGUGGCGUGACCGCGAGAACUUGUCUAAACCUUAUCAUCUAGAGGAAGGUGAAGUCGUAACA